ACAGGCCUGGCACGGCCCGGGGGCAGCGCUGGAACCGGAGCGAAGCCAACCGGGCACCGGCACCGAGCCCGGGCGGCAGCGCCGGCUGCAGCAUCACCGCGCCCGGGGGUGCCCUCACGGGGCUGCCCUCACGGAGGUGCCCUCACGGAGCUGCCCUCACGGAGCUGCCCUCACGGAGGUGCCCUCACAGAGCUGCCCUCACGGAGGUGCCCUCACGGAGGUGCCCUCACGGAGCUGCCCUCACGGGGGUGCCCUCACAGAGCUGCCCUCACGGGGGUGCCCGCCCGCCCGGGGGUGCCCUCACGGGGGUGCCCUCACGGAGCUGCCCUCACGGAGGUGCCCUCACGGGGGUGCCCUCACGGAGGUGCCCUCACGGAGGUGCCCUCACGGGGGUGCCCUCACGGGGGUGCCCUCACAGAGGUGCCCUCACGGGGGUGGCCGCCCGCCCGGGGGUGCCCUCACGACCCGCUCCAGACGUGCCACCCCAGAGGUCUCAUCCCGAAGUGCCCCCCAAAGGCCUCACCCACCUUUCCCCUUCCCGACCCCGCUCCCCCGCCGGCCGCGCGUUCCCCCGGGCCC